rnacentral:rRNA from 1 species
UACAGGGGGUGCAAACGUUGCUCGGAAUUAUUGGGCGUAAAGCGCACGUAGGCGGUUUGUUAAGUCGGAUGUGAAAUCCCUCGGCUCAACUGAGGAAGUGCAUCCCGAAACUGGCAGGCUUGAGUACUAAAGAGGGUCGCGGAAUUCCCGGUGUAGAGGUGAAAUUCGUAGAUAUCGGGAGGAACACCGGUGGCGAAGGCGGCGACCUGGGUAGAUACUGACGCUGAGGUGCGAAAGCGUGGGGAGCAAACAGG